rnacentral:tRNA from 1 species
GAUCUGGUAGCUCAGUGGGUAUAGCAAUACACUUUUAAUGUAUGGGGCCUGGGUUCGAAUCCCAGCCGGAUCACCA